rnacentral:pre_miRNA from 1 species
ACAUACUUCUUUAUGUACCCAUAUGAAGAUACAAUGUUAUGGAAUGUAAAGAAGUAUGUAU